rnacentral:lncRNA from 1 species
UGUGGGACCAAGGGUGCACAGAUGCCUAUCAUUCGGCAGGCAUUUAGCAUACUUCUGGGGGUAAACAAAUAAGGGCGCCGCUGAGGCGAAAAGGAAAACGUCUUACAGCCAGGGUCUUAAUUUCCCAACAACGGAAUGUGUCUGUGAGACACGUGUACUCAAAACAGCCCCGCCAG